rfam:Ruminococcus sp. 18P13 draft genome.
GGGGGCGUAAAGGCUUCGACGGGGGCUGUGAACGUUCAUAAGCGAGUAGAGGGCGCGACUCUUUAACCACGCAACACGUUUAAAAUUAAACGCUGAUAACGAUACUCUUUUGAUGGCUGCCUAAGGGCCCCAUCCGUCUGCCCGGGAAGGACUGCGGUCCCGGAACAGGCGUCGAUCAGCAGUGAACAUUCUGCGGACCUGCUCAUAUCCGCUGAAGGUCUUUUGAGCUACCGACUCUGUAAGCCUGCUUUUCGGCGUGCAGAGCCGGGAAUUGAAAGGAAAAGCUACACUCGUAGAAAUUGACCGGAAUCGGCUUUCGGACAUGGGUUCAAUUCCCAUCGCCUCCACCA